CCUACGGGGGGCAGCAGUAGGGAAUCUUCCACAAUGGGCGAAAGCCUGAUGGAGCAACGCCGCGUGGGUGAAGAAGGUCUUCGGAUUGUAUAACCCUGUUGUUAGAGAAGAAAGUGCUUGAGAGAAACUGUUCACGAUUCGACGGUAUCUAACCAGAAAGCCACGGCUAACUACGUGCCAGCAGCCGCGGUAAUACGUAGGGGGCAAGCGUUAUCCGGAUUUAUUGGGCGUAAAGGGAACGCAGGCGGUCUUUUAAGUGUGAUGUGAAAGCCCUCGGCUUAACCGGGGGAUUGCAUUUGAAACUG
rnacentral:rRNA from 1 species